AAUGAACGCUGGCGGCAUGCCUAACACAUGCAAGUCGAACGAAGGCUUCGGCCUUAGUGGCGCACGGGUGCGUAACGCGUGGGAAUCUGCCCUCAGGUUCGGAAUAACAGCGAGAAAUUGCUGCUAAUACCGGAUGAUAUCGCGAGAUCAAAGAUUUAUCGCCUGAGGAUGAGCCCGCGUAGGAUUAGCUAGUUGGUGUGGUAAAGGCGCACCAAGGCGACGAUCCUUAGCUGGUCUGAGAGGAUGAUCAGCCACACUGGGACUGAGACANGGCCCANACUCCUACGGGAGGCCNCAGUGGGGAAUAUUGGACAAUGGGCGAAAGCCUGAUCCAGCAAUGCCGCGUGAGUGAUGAAGGNCUUAGGGUUGUAACCCUCUUUUACCCGGGAUGAUAAUGANGNACCCNNNAGAAUNANNNACCNNNUAA
rnacentral:rRNA from 1 species